CAGUAGCCGCGGUAAUACAGAGGGUGCAAGCGUUAAUCGGAAUUACUGGGCGUAAAGCGCGCGUAGGUGGUUUGUUAAGUUGGAUGUGAAAGCCCCGGGCUCAACCUGGGAACUGCAUCCAAAACUGGCAAGCUAGAGUACGGUAGAGGGUGGUGGAAUUUCCUGUGUAGCGGUGAAAUGCGUAGAUAUAGGAAGGAACACCAGUGGCGAAGGCGACCACCUGGACUGAUACUGACACUGAGGUGCGAAAGCGUGGGGAGCAAACAGGAUUAGAUACCCCCGUAGUCCCUGUCUCUUAACA
rnacentral:rRNA from 1 species